UGUGCAAGUGAUGAUAAACAGACAGGGACAUCAGCACUCACAUUUGAGUAUGAUGAUUAUGUCUUUGGGAAUCUCUCUGAUGCAUA